GGAUUGGAUUACCUAAUUCUGGAACACUCUCAUUAAAUAGCUGAAGGAUGAUCAAAACAGAGGAGGAGCCCAGCAGAACAGUAUCAGCAGAGUCAAAACCACCUUGGCCAAAAUGUGAGCUAAGUGGGGUACACAACAUUUCAUUACCCUGGUUUAGUCCAGGUACCCUGGAACCAUUCCUAUGGAGGGGUAUCUAGCCGAGGCAACCAACCUGGAAAACAUCAUUAAAAGAGACAGAAGGAUCAAGGUGCUUUAGACUCGUCCAUGUGAAGAAAUGGAUUGUCCAAGGAAGGGAAGCCAUGAUAGUGAAUCAUAGGAUCAUAGACUAUUCUGAGUUGGAAGGGACUCAAGGAUCAACUCCUGACCACAUGGGACAACCUAAAAGUUAAACCUAGUAUCUAAGAGUGUUCUCAACCACUUCUGGAACGCUGACAUGCUUGGAUCCAUGAGUUCACUGGUGAGCUUUUUUCAGUUCCUAAUCACAUUUUCAGUUAAGAACUUUUUCCGAAUCACAGAGUCAAAAAAUACCGUGGAAGGGUUCUCAAGGGUCGCCUGGUCCAACCAUUCAUAACAAAAGUUAAGAAUUGUCUCAACAAGAUGGCCCAGCACCAUGUCCAGCCAAAUUGUCCAGUGCUGGGGAAAUCACUUCUUCUCUGGGGAAGUUAUUCCAAUGUCUGGUUGUUUUCAUUGUGAAAUUUUUUCCUUGUGUAAGCAAUCAGAAUCUCCCCAGG